rnacentral:rRNA from 1 species
CGUAGGGGGCGAGCGUUGUCCGGAUUUAUAGGGCGUAAAGAGCGUGUAGGCUGUUCGGUAAGUCUGCCGUGAAAACCUGAGGCUCAACCUCGGGCGUGCGGUGGAUACUGCCGGGCUAGAGGACGGUAGAGGCGAGUGGAAUUCCUGGUGUAGCGGUGAAAUGCGCAGAUAUCGGGAGGAACACCAGUAGCGAAGGCGGCUCGCUGGGCCGUUCCUGACGCUGAGACGCGAAAGCUAGGGGAGCGAACAGGAUUAGAUACCCUGGUAGUCCUAGCCGUAAACGAUGGACACUAGGUGUGGGGGGAGUCGAAUCCCUCCGUGCCGCAGCCAACGCGUUAAGUGUCCCGCCUGGGGAGUACGGCCGCAAGGCUA